UGUUGAAUGUGAUGUGCCUUCCUCAUGGACAAAGGUGGGAGAUCUGUGCUGCAUCCACUGUCUCCGACAGCCCAAAGGAAAGCUCAAUCUUAUUGAUACAAUGAACUGACAGAUUCAUACAGAAAGGGCUUAUAUCUCUUUCUCCAUUCCAUUUCAAAAAGUCCUACGGAAGGUUUCUGAUUGUUCUGACCUCACAAUCCAAUUGGAAAUUGAAUUGACUGGGAGGCAGAUGGAAGAAAAAUAUGAUUGGCAAUUUCCACUAAGGGGUGUUGAAGGAGAUGAGGAAUAUGGAAGUGGAACCCCAAACUAUAACAAGAGUGAUGCAUAUUUUACCAGAAGAUUACUGAGAGACAGAGAGGUGAAUAAGUUGCUCCCUUUGGCCGUAUGAAUUGGGUAUGGUUUAAAAUAGUGGUUGUUAAAGUGGGUUGUAUAAGAUGAUCCAUUAAGUGU